GAGUCCAAACUUUCAUCGGCUGGGCGAGGCCUGUUCGGUUGGACAUGCAUGAGAAUGUGCCAAGUUGAUCGAGCAUAUUGAUCCCCUUAUGUUGGACAUGCAUCUGGACAUAAUUAGAUGGUUCACUUAUGAAAUGAUGCUGUAUGCAGGUGAGUGAUGUGAGAGGCUUGCUGGUUUCCUCAACCGCUCAUCAUCCUUCCAGCUAAAACAGCUAUUUUCUCUUGUUAAAUGCUUGAAAAUUCUUGAUGGAUUUUGUAACCUUAAUGUUUCUCCAAGCUUCAGUGCUCAUCACCAAAAAGUCUUUAUUUGGUUUC